ACCUUCGUGGUGUAACGGUCAGCACACUCGGCUCAUAUUCAAGAGGUCCGAGGUUCUAGUCCCGGCGAAGGCA
rnacentral:tRNA from 1 species